rnacentral:lncRNA from 13 species
UGAAUGUUGAUAUGGUUUUGGCUCUGUCCCCAUGAAUCUCACUUCUAAUUGUAAUCUCCAUAAUCCCCAUGUGUCAAGGGCUGGACCAGGUGGAAGUAACUGAAUCAUGGGGAGGGUUUCCCCGUGCUGUUCUCGUGAUAGUGCCUUCUCACAAGAUCUGAUGGCUUUACAUGUGCUUGGCAUUUUCCCUGUUUGCCUUCCCUUCUUCCUGCUACCUAGUGAAGAAGGUGCCUGCUUCUCCUCUGCUUUCUGCCAUGAUCAUAAGUUUCCUGAGGCCUCCCAGCAUUAUGAAACUGUUCUCACUCAAUCACCCAGGCUAGAGAGCAGUGGCAUGAUCAUAGCUCACUGCAGCCUUGACCUUCUGGGCUCAAGCGAUUCUCCAACUUCAGACUCCCAAGUAGCUUACACCACAGAAUGCAUGGAAAGAGCUUUUAUUCUCUGGAUGUCUCUUUCCAUAUUCCCUGGGGGACUGGCCAGGACAACUUAA